UACGUAGGGCGCAAGCGUUGUCCGGAAUUAUUGGGCGUAAAGAGCUCGUAGGCGGUUUGUCGCGUCUGUCGUGAAAGCCCACGGCUUAACCGUGGGUCUGCGGUGGAUACGGGCAGACUAGAGGCAGGUAGGGGAGAAUGGAAUUCCCGGUGUAGCGGUGAAAUGCGCAGAUAUCGGGAGGAACACCGGUGGCGAAGGCAGGUCUCUGGGCCACUACUGACGCUGAGAAGCGAAAGCAUGGGGAGCGAACAGG
rnacentral:rRNA from 1 species